rnacentral:tRNA from 1 species
UCCCUAGUGGCUCAGAUGGUAAAGCGUCUGCCUACAAUGCGGGAGACCCUGGUUUGAUCCCUGGGUCGGGAA